UGUCUGGAUGGACAAGUUCAAUUUUUGUG
rnacentral:piRNA from 1 species